AGUUAUCUCUGCAUGUUGAUGUUGAGUAUGAUCAGAAGACUAGUAUUCAUUAUUACACUUCAAACCUAUGCCUCCUAGCUAUAUUAAGUAUUGAUUCAAAACAAAAAUUCAAAAAACAAAUGUUCACAAAUCUCUCUAUCUCUCUCUCUCUCUCUUCAUCCCUUUCACACCAAACUUCGCCGGAGAUUUUGCACCGCCAAAACAGUUGACAUUUCCACAAUUCUUUAACAAUCCUCUCUCUCUCUCUCUCUCUCUUCAUCCCAUCCAGACCACCUUCACCGGAGAUUUCCACCGCAAAAAAAAAUCAGCAAAUUAUCUUCCUCCAUACCAACUUCACCGGAGAUUUCCACCACCAUCGGAGUUUCAAAUGCGUCGGUCUUCUUAGCAAAAGGUGGUCGUUUGUCUAAUAUUGCAAAAAAAAGUGAUGUUCGGGGGUUUGUGUGUAUUGGUUUGGAAAACAAAUGAUGUUACCAAAAUUAGGGCUGGAACCAUUGCAGCGGUGGUUACCAGAUCCGGUGUGUGAGUUAAGAUUCAGAUGUUAAAUAGAUCUGGCAGCUUGAAGAAAAUCGCACAUGAAUAUGAAUAUGAAGAUGAUGAUGAUGAUGAAUAAGAUACGAAGAUGACGAUGAAUCAGAUAUGAAUCUUGUUACUUUUUUUAAAUUCUCUUUAUGUUUUUUUUUAUCUAAAAUUACACAUUUUUUGUAAGUGUUUUUAGUUGAAUCAGGCAUUUUAAGGUAUGAAAUGUGUAAAAAUGUGUUAUUUAUGACUUUUCCCCUCUCUCUCUCUCUCUCUCUCUCUCUCUCUUUAUAUCUUUAUCUUCUAUUUCAUUUCCAGUUCUUAAAGAUCUUCAUCCAGAUCUAAAAGUGACCUGAAUCCAAAAGAUGAUCCAGUUCAAAAGAUCAUCAUCCAGAUGCUCCAACUUUUUUCUGGAUAUGUUUUUUUUUUGUUCAAGAAGAUGAAUGUUUUUAA